rnacentral:rRNA from 1 species
GACGAACGCUGGCGGCGUGCUUAACACAUGCAAGUCGAACGGAAAGGCUCCAGCUUGCUGGAGUACUCGAGUGGCGAACGGGUGAGUAACACGUGGGUAAUCUGCCCUGCACUCUGGGAUAAGCCUGGGAAACUGGGUCUAAUACUGGAUAUGACCUUUCUCCUUAUGGGGUUUGGUGGAAAGUUUUUCGGUGUAGGAUGAGCCCGCGGCCUAUCAGCUUGUUGGUGGGGUGAUGGCCUACCAAGGCGACGACGGGUAGCCGGCCUGAGAGGGUGAUCGGCCACAUUGGGACUGAGAUACGGCCCAGACUCCUACGGGAGGCAGCAGUGGAGAAUAUUGCACAAUGGGCGGAAGCCUGAUGCAGCGACGCCGCGUGAGGGAUGACGGCCUUCGGGUUGUAAACCUCUUUCAGCAGGGACGAAGCGUAAGUGACGGUACCUGCAGAAGAAGCACCGGCUAACUAUGUG